GUGCUGCUUCAGCAGCACAUAUACUAAAAUUGGAACGAUAAGCAGAAGAUUAGUAUGGCCCCUGAGCAAGGACGUGCAAAUUUGUGAAGCAUUCCACAUUUAA